GGUUUUUUUUUUAAUUAUCUUGUUUAAUUCAGUCUGAGUAUGAGCACACCCAAUAUAAACAGAUCUCUUCAUUAACACUAUACAUGUACUCUAUUUACGCUUAGAUCCUUUGCAUUUUGCUUGAACUUAUCACGGUUCAGAAUAUCAACUACUGUUAUACUCGGAUAUCCCGAAUUUAUGACAAAUCAGUUGUUAUAGACACCAUUAUAAAACAGUACACUCGAAUCAGUUUCAGUCCAGGUUUCGAAUCAUAUUUUGACAGCUAGGUACCUGAAGCUAUUUUUAGUAACAGGUACUUUCCAUCCAAAAACAGGUGUAGGCGAAAUAAUGGGAAAAGGCGCUAUACCUCUUUGGUAUUUUGCAAAGUUAUGCACAAUUUCCUUCAUAAAAGUAAGAGCUGAUUAUGACACGUACAAUAUCAUGCUGUCUAUUAAUUAUACUAAAAAUAAAUUGUACAAGUU
rnacentral:sRNA from 1 species